UACGGAGGGGACUAGCGUUGUUCGGAAUUACUGGGCGUAAAGCGCACGUAGGCGGAUUUGUUAGUCAGGGGUGAAAUCCCGAGGCUCAACCUCGGAACUGCCUUUGAUACUGCAAAUCUCGAGUCCGGAAGAGGUGAGUGGAAUUCCUAGUGUAGAGGUGAAAUUCGUAGAUAUUAGGAAGAACACCAGUGGCGAAGGCGGCUCACUGGUCCGGUACUGACGCUGAGGCGCGAAAGCUAGGGGAGCAAACGGG
rnacentral:rRNA from 1 species